rnacentral:sRNA from 1 species
AAGUAAAAGUCGUAACAAGGUUUCCGUAGGUGAACCUGCGGAAGGAUCAUUACUGAAUUGUCAAACGGGUUGUUGCUGGCCCUCAUAGGGGGCAUGUGCACGCUCUGUUUACACAUCCACUCACACCUGUGCACCCUCUGUAGUUCUAUGGUCUGGGGGACCCUGUCUUCCUUCUGUGGUUCUACGUCUCUACACACACACUGUAAUAAAGUUUUAUGGAAUGUACAUCGCGUCUAACGCAAUACAAUACAACUUUCAGCAACGGAUCUCUUGGCUCUCGCAUCGAUGAAGAACGCAGCGAAAUGCGAUAAGUAAUGUGAAUUGCAGAAUUCAGUGAAUCAUCGAAUCUUUGAACGCACCUUGCGCCCCUUGGCUAUUCCGAGGGGCAUGCCUGUUUGAGUAUCAUGAACACCUCAACUCUCAUGGUUUGCCAUGAUGAGUUGGACUCUGGGGGUUUUGCUGGCCUGUGGUCGGCUCCUCUCAAAUUAAUCAGCCUCCCAGUGUUUGGUGGCAUCACGGGUGUGAUAAAUAUCUACGCUCGCUGUUGUCUGCCAGGUAACCUUUGGUCACAAAGGUUUGCUGGAGCUCACAGAUGUCUCUCCUCAGCGAGGACAGCUUUUUUAACGUUCGAUCUCAAAUCAGGUAGGACUACCCGCUGAACUUAAGCAUAUC